UACAACCGGUGCUUUCAGUUAAUUUAAUGUAUAGUGCCCUGAUGUAGUGAACAAAUUCCUUUUCACCUUUUUAAGUUUCGCAUAUUUUGUUUUUAGUACCUUUGGAGAGAAGAUGAAAGCAUACCGAUACAAAGACAAGAACAAGAGAAAGAUCUGCAACUCUACAGGAGAUUCAAGAAAGUUCCCUUUGAAAUCACAUGAUAAUUUCUCCGAAAGGGGGCUGAAGACCGUCUAGAGGAGUCACCUGUUUUAACCACUCCCAGCACUAUACAGAAGUGUGUUGUCUGUCUGUUAGAGAGUAAGCACUAAAAUAGCGUCACAUAAAGGACGCUCAACGUUGCAAUUUGUAUUGUCGUAACAUCAGUAAAGCGUGCACAUGCCAUGAAUCACGAGAAGAAUUAUGCACUCUGUAGUCUAUAACACAGCAUGA